AACGAACGCUGGCGGCAUGCCUAACACAUGCAAGUCGAACGAGACCUUCGGGUCUAGUGGCGCACGGGUGCGUAACGCGUGGGAAUCUGCCCUUGGGUUCGGAAUAACAGUUAGAAAUGACUGCUAAUACCGGAUGAUGCCUUCGGACCAAAGAUUUAUCGCCCAAGGAUGAGCCCGCGUAAGAUUAGCUAGUUGGUGAGGUAAUGGCUCACCAAGGCGACGAUCUAGUCUGGUCUGAGAGGAUGAUCAGCCACACUGGGACUGAGACACGGCCCAGACUCCUACGGGAGGCAGCAGUGGGGAAUAUUGGACAAUGGGCGAAAGCCUGAUCCAGCAAUGCCGCGUGAGUGAUGAAGGCCUUAGGGUUGUAAAGCUCUUUUACCAGGGAUGAUAAUGACAGUACCUGGAGAAUAAGCUCCGGCUAACUCCGUGCCA
rnacentral:rRNA from 1 species